UACGGGGGGUGCAAGCGUUGUCCGGAAUUACUGGGCGUAAAGGGCGCGUAGGCGGCGUGCCAAGUCGGAUGUGAAAGCCCACGGCUCAACCGUGGACGUGCAUCUGAAACUGGCAUGCUUGAGUACUGGAGAGGAAAGUGGAAUUCCUGGUGUAGAGGUGAAAUUCGUAGAGAUCAGGAGGAAUACCGGUGGCGAAGGCGACUUUCUGGACAGAUACUGACGCUGAGGCGCGAAAGCGUGGGGAGCAAACAGG
rnacentral:rRNA from 1 species